CCUACGGGUGGCAGCAGUGGGGAAUAUUGGGCAAUGGGCGAAAGCCUGACCCAGCAAUGCCGCGUGAAUGAAGAAGGUCUUAGGAUUGUAAAAUUCUGUCCUAUGGGAAGAAAAAAAUGACGGUACCAUAGGAGGAAGCCCCGGCUAACUACGUGCCAGCAGCCGCGGUAAUACGUAGGGGGCGAGCGUUGUCCGGAAUUACUGGGCGUAAAGAGAGCGUAGGCGGCACUACAAGUCUCAUGUGAAAUACCCGGGCUUAACUUGGGGGUUGCAUGGGAAACUGUAGAGCUUGAGUACAGGAGAGGCAAGCGGAAUUCCUAGUGUAGCGGUGAAAUGCAUAGAUAUCACGCAGAACCCCGAUUGCGAAGGCAGCCUGCCAAGCCAUGACUGACGCUGAUGCACGAAAGCGUGGGGAUCAAACAGGAUUAGAUACCCCAGUAGUC
rnacentral:rRNA from 1 species